rnacentral:misc_RNA from 1 species
AAGACUAUAGACCUGCGGAGUACCUGCGGAGGGAUCAUUAAAAGACGUCGAAAGACUCUUUUUUCAACCCAUUGUGAACUUUACCAUUCAGUUGCCUCGGUGGGCGACCCCAGGGGCGGGUCUUCACCAAGUUUUGGUGCCCACCGCAGGACCUAAUACUCUAUAUUACACAGUACUAUCUGAGCUUAUAGCGCAAAACUAUCAAAACUUUCAACAACGGAUCUCUAGAUCGGAAGAGCA